rnacentral:tRNA from 14 species
GCCCGAGUGGUGGAAUCGGUAGACACAAGGGAUUUAAAAUCCCUCGCUUAAUAGGCGUGCCGGUUCAAGUCCGGCCUCGGGUACCA